rnacentral:rRNA from 1 species
AUUGAACGCUGGCGGCAGGCCUAACACAUGCAAGUCGAGCGAGCGGCGGACGGGUGAGUAAUGUCUGGGAAACUGCCUGCUGGAGGGGGAUAACUACUGGAAACGGUAGCUAAUAACGCAUAACAUCAGAUGUGCCCAGAUGGGAUUAGCUAGUAGGUUGGGUAACGGCUCACCUAGGCGACGAUCCCUAGCUGGUCUGAGAGGAUGACCAGCAACACGGGAACGGAGAAACGGUCCAGACUCCUACGGGAGGCAGCAGUGGGAAAUAUGGCACAAGGGGCGAAAGCCUGAUGCAGCCAGGCCGCGUGUGUGAAGAAGGCCUUCGGGUUGUAAAGCACUUUCAGCGGGGAGGCGUUACCCACAGAAGAAGCAACGGCUAACUCCGUGCCAGCAGCAGCGGUAAUAC